rnacentral:lncRNA from 1 species
AUGGUUCUCCCACAAGAGCAGGACCAAGCUAUGAAGGGAGAGAGGAUCAAUAAGGAAACGGGAGAGCUGAGUGCUUCGGGGGAGCUGACUGCCUCGGUGGAGCUGAAGACGGAGAAGGGGGAGGGCUACUGUGGGAACCCUGAACUACUGCAAAGACUCAGAGAUGCACUACAGGAGCUAGGGAUUUAUACGUACUACAGCCGGGACCCCGGGACAGAUCCUGCAGACAAAGAAGAGGAGACGCUGUUAAAAGUCCUGCCUCUUUACUUACAGGUAUGCACCAACAGGGUAAUGGAUAUAACACAUUAAUAAUCAAGAUUAGUUAUUUUCCUCAGAUUUUCAUAAACAUUACUGAAUAAAUCUGAAUCGAUGGGAAUCCUUCAUAAAGCUAAAGCUCACACAAGGGUCAAUUAAGAAUGCACAAGGAUUCUAACUGAUACUGAACUAAAAAAGGGUUAAGUGGAUGCCUCCAGACAACAAAAAACCACAUGAGUGAAGAUUUUAGUGAGGCUGUAGUCAGAUGCUUGGCCUUUAGCUGAUUCCACCAUUGGCUGUUCCUGGUGCUGAACACGUAAAAUAUAUCAGCAAAUUCACACCGAACGAUCAUGUGGAGAAGGGCAUGUCGUCAAAUUCACAGCGUCAGGUUCAUUGACUGGAAAAAUAUGUCUGCGUUAUAUCACAGUUCUAGGAAAGAGUCUAAUCUUUUCUCAUGCACUGUAGCACAUUGGGCCGUGCACACGCAGUAGCACUGCUGACCGGACCUAAAGCAGCAGAUGGAGCAGGCUUUGGUCUGUUUGCACCUCUGUGGCUGUGUUUGGUGAAAAAACAAGUCUCGCAACCAUUAAUUAGAGCAGCAAAUAUAUAGGAUAACCUUUUUGGAUGCUUAUUUUUCUGACUUCUUUUACAUCAAUCCUGGCUCCGACCAGAGAGUUCUGCUGUUGUGUCUUUGAGCAAGACACUUAACCCACCUUGCCUGCUGGUGGUGGUCAGGGGGACCGGUGGCACCAGUGUUCAGCAGGCCUCACCUCUAUCAGUGUGCCCCAGGGUAGCUGUGGCUACAAUGUAGCUCAUCAUCACCAGCAUGUGAAUGUGUGUGUGAUUGUGUGAAAGACUGCCUGAUGCCCCCUAAAGAAAGAAAGAAAGAAAGAAAGAAAGAAAGAAAGAAAGAAAGAAAGAAAGAAAAGAAAGAAAGAAAAGAAAGAAAGAAAGAAAACAAUCUUUUCUAUAGCGCCUCUGAAGGUAAAAAUCACGAGGCGUUUCACAAAAACAAAACAUUUAAAACAGGGGUGUCAAACUCAAACUCACACGGGGCCGAAAUGAAACUCUGGGACGGAGUCGAUGGCCAAACUUAAUAUUUUUUGAAAAAGUGACGGCAAAUUUGCACAUUUUCUUUAUUAACAUAUAUGGAAUUUUGAACCUUUAAAUUUGGAAACAAGCUUAUUUCUGCAUUAACACUGAAUGUGGAAUAACCAAAUUACACACGAGCAAGUCAGUUUUAAAUAAAAGGCAUCAGUGGUAUUCAUUACUUGUGGUAUAUUCAGCAUUUUUAAAAUCUAUUCAGGAUUUAUGUUUUCUUGUUUAUUCACUUUUCUUAUUUUUUAUUCUCCUUUUGUUCUCCUGAAUUAAGUGUCAUCGCUGCUGUGACGUCUAGCUUUCCCCACUGAGGAACAAUAAAGGGAUUUUCUAUUCUAUUUAUCUAUCUGCAGCCUUUCCACUUCCUGUUUACUGUAGGUUAAAUCUUUUCUCACGGGCCAACAACAAAAUAAAAAAAUCAGUUUAUCUUAAAUGAAAAUGCAACAUCUCACCUGUUAACUUUCAUGUUUUGGAGCAGAAAAAGAGCAUAAAACCUAAAUAUUUAAAGCUCAGUUUGCUCCACUGGUUUACUGUGAUGCUCACCUGUUCCAGCCAGAUACCUGCAUCAUGGGGUUGAUCUGAGCUGAGGAGGAGACUCCUGUUGUUUUGUUCAUCUUCAUCAUAAUAAUGACAACAUUAGAUGACAACAGGUGCUCAUAUAGGUUUGUGCUGAUGAACAUGUCUGAGCAGCUUGACCACGUUGUUGUGUGUCGGGGAGGAAACAUGACAGCAGCCACAGAGCCGUGCUGGUUUGAGCGUGUCGCUGCUCGCUGGAGUUAUAUCAGCUCUGUCUGGAAGUUAGUUUGAAAACUUUCUCUUUCAGUCGUGAACACAUUACUGAGCAGCUAGAAUCUCCGUUUCUGGGCUUCAGCGUCAGAAAACAGCUGAGUGAACUCGGCGCUGAGUGAGAGGAGUGUUUAGUUUGUCCGAGACAGCGGAGCUGCAGACACCUGCAGCAGGCGCUGGAAAAAACACAAAGGAGGGGGCGCGUCGGCUCUGCGCUAACGCCACAAAGCAUCAUGGGAGUUGAAGUCUUUGCGGUAAAAUUGGCCAGCGGGCCAGUUUUAAUAUAUUUUUGAUAUUUAUCUCGCGGGCCACAUAAAAAUGCUCCGCGGGCCGCAUCUGGCCCGCGGGCCUUGAGUCUGACAUAUGUCAUUUAAAAUAUAAAAAAGAUUAAAAAAAGAUCAAACCAUGUUCAAAAUAAGCAAAAAUAGACUAUUGUAAUAAAAAAAUGCAAAGAAAGAGAGAGAGUGAGAAUAGGAAAGAGGGAAAUCAGUGAAUCCUGGCGAAGGCAGAAUAAGGAGAUGGUGGUGAUGAAGGUCACGUAAAAGCCAGCAUUUACGGGUUGAAGCACCCUAAGAAGGUGUUCUAAAAAUACAGGCCAUUUACUGUUAAACAGUCAAAUCAUUAUGACAUCUAUCUAUCUAUCUAUCUAUCAUCUAUCAUCUAUCUAUCUAUCUAUCUAUCAUCUAUCAUCUAUCUAUCUAUCUAUCUAUCUAUCUAUCUAUCUAUCUAUCUAUCUAUCUAUCUAUCUAUCUAUCUAUCUAUCUAUCUAUCUAUCUAUCUAUCUAUCUGUCUGUCU